rnacentral:misc_RNA from 1 species
UAUUGGACCUUUGAACAAUUUGAGGUGAGAAUCCACCAUUCGCACCUCUUUGCUAUACAAGUUAGUUUGUUGCCUGGGAUAUGGGCCCUCUCACCCUAAGCACUUAGCAGAAUGUUGCUGAAGUCCAGUCCUAGCUGUCAUUUGAGCCUGUGUUUAUGUUGGAAUCCAUUCUCCUUGUAGCUGCCCAAAAUUUUAGCAUGCCUUCAUUUUCUUCUCCUCUUCCUCUCUCUCUCUCUCG